AACCAAAUAAAAAUAGGGGAGUCAUGAUCUGGUUUUGAAGAGUCAAGCAUUUGUUGUUCUGCAGAGAGCUACAGAGUACUUGGACGUGACUAACUUCAUAGAGGGUGUGCAGUAGUACUGGUUGAUUUCAGGAACAAUGGCAGUCUGGCCUCUUUGUCUGUCUUUCUUUCUGCUCUUUGCUCUGGAUGCUUCAGAGACAGCACUUCUUACUGGCAUAAGCGAUGGUGAGAUAUUUUAGUGUGUUACAUUUGUUCUGUCUAGUUGUAGUGACAAAAGCAGGGUCGUCACUGGUGAAAGGUGGUGAUGAUUAUAGGGACCCACGGCUGUGGACAGAGCUCAAACACUGAACUGAGUUCUCCAUCUGCACCUGAGUGAACAAAAACAUAAACAUACAAACACAAAAAGAGAUGAAAAGCUUAAUUCAGCAUCAGUGUGCUGUGUUCUGUGCACACAGAGAGCCACGUCUA